GAUGAACGCUGGCGGCGUGCCUAAUACAUGCAAGUCGAGCGAACAGACGAGGAGCUUGCUCCUCUGACGUUAGCGGCGGACGGGUGAGUAACACGUGGAUAACCUACCUAUAGGACUGGGAUAACUUCGGGAAACCGGAGCUAAUACCGGAUAAUAUAUUGAACCGCAUGGUUCAAUAGUGAAAGACGGUUUUGCUGUCACUUAUAGAUGGAUCCGCGCCGCAUUAGCUAGUUGGUAAGGUAACGGCUUACCAAGGCAACGAUGCGUAGCCGACCUGAGAGGGUGAUCGGCCACACUGGAACUGAGACACGGUCCAGACUCCUACGGGAGGCAGCAGUAGGGAAUCUUCCGCAAUGGGCGAAAGCUUGACGGAGCAACGCCGCGUGAGUGAUGAAGGUCUUCGGAUCGUAAAACUCUGUUAUUAGGGAAGAACAAAUGUGUAAGUAACUAUGCACGUCUUGACGGUACCUAAUCAGAAAGCCACGGCUAACUACGUG
rnacentral:rRNA from 1 species